UUACGGCCAUAUCUCGUUGAAACACCGGUUUUUGUACGAUUACCGAAGUUAAGAAACGUCGAGCCUGUUAUGUACCUUGGUGGUUGACCAUUUGAGAAUGUCAGGUAGCGUA